CAGUAGCCGCGGGAAUACGUAGGUCCCGAGCGUUGUCCGGAUUUAUUGGGCGUAAAGCGAGCGCAGGCGGUUAGAUAAGUCUGAAGUUAAAGGCUGUGGCUUAACCAUAGUACGCUUUGGAAACUGUUUAACUUGAGUGCAGAAGGGGAGAGUGGAAUUCCAUGUGUAGCGGUGAAAUGCGUAGAUAUAUGGAGGAACACCGGUGGCGAAAGCGGCUCUCUGGUCUGUAACUGACGCUGAGGCUCGAAAACGUGGGGAGCAAACAGGAUUAGAUACCCGGGUAGUCCCUGUCUCUUAUACA
rnacentral:rRNA from 1 species